rnacentral:misc_RNA from 1 species
GCCUGUUCCACCUACAGUAUCAGUCUGGGGAGCUCUUUUAGGGGCUUGUAGAGUUCAUGGGAAACCUGAACUAGGGAAGGUUGCGGCUGACAAUUUGUUUCGACUUGAUCCUUUGGACUCUGGAAACCAUGUCGUUCUUUCUAAUAUGUUUGCUGCUGCUGGAAGGUGGCAUGAGGCUAAUCUUGUUAGAAAGGAGAUGAAGGAUGUUGGCAUCACAAAAGGGGCUGGAAUUAGUUGGAUAUCUGCAAAGAAUUCUAUCCAUGUUUUCCAAGCUAAGGAUACAACUCAUGAGAGAUACCCAGAGAUUCAAGCAAUGCUGGCCAAGUUAAGGAGAGAUAUGA